rnacentral:rRNA from 1 species
GAACGGGUGAGUAACACGUGGGUAACCUGCCUGCAAGACCGGGAUAACUUCGGGAAACCGGAGCUAAUACCGGAUGAUCUCCUUUUCCGCAUGGAGAAGGACUGAAAGGACGGCGCAAGCUGUCGCUUGCAGAUGGGCCCGCGGCGCAUUAGCCAGUUGGUGAGGUAACGGCUCACCAAGGCGACGAUGCGUAGCCGACCUGAGAGGGUGAUCGGCCACACUGGGACUGAGACACGGCCCAGACUCCUACGGGAGGCAGCAGUAGGGAAUCUUCCGCAAUGGACGAAAGUCUGACGGAGCAACGCCGCGUGAGCGACGAAGGCCUUCGGGUCGUAAAGCUCUGUUGUCAGGGAAGAACAAGUGCGGGAGUAACUGCCCGCACCUUGACGGUACCUGACCAGAAAGCCACGGCUAACUACGUGCCAGCAGCCGCGGUAAUACGUAGGUGGCAAGCGUUGUCCGGAAUUAUUGGGCGUAAAG